CAAAAUUAGCAAUUUCAACUAUGAUUAACUAUGUCCAACAUUAAUCAACAAUUGAACGCCUACUGGUUUUUAAAUUCAACUGGAGCGAACUUCCAAGAGCAUGAAUCAGUUACGUGCGUGUUAUUAUCAAUUCAAUUAACAACCAUUGAUGUAUGCACGAUUUCACUCAUUCAAAAGAGUAUGCUAACUCGCAAGUUUAAGUUGAACAACUUGACCAAGUAUAGCUUAUGACAAUUAGUAUUUUAACUAGCUACUAACCAUAAGUUCCCUGGACGAUACAACAACCUAUUAUCAACAAAUAUUUACACAAAUCAACAGUUCAAUACAACUAAGUCAUUACAGUAAAGGAUAAUAAAAAUGUGGCAACUAAUGAAUCCUCUAACGAAAACUAGCUCCUUUAUCAUUUCCUUUUUUCAAUUAGAUACACUGCAUGGAUUCAAACUUAAAGGUGUGUACCUGGUUUUUGAAUUACAGCAGAAGAAGAACAGAAUCAGUAGAAGCAGGUGAACAACAACAUCACCUUAAUACAUAAAACAGCCCAGGAAAUAUAAUGAGCAGCCCAGAUACGUUUAAAUCAAAGAAAAUCUAGGAGAUCCACUUUAACACAGUUACAAACCAACAAGAAAUGAACCCCAACGCAUAGACAACCAUCAAAUAAUCCAAACCAAUUCGAAACAGAACUGAAAACCCUUUUGUAACUGCACUGCUGCAAAGCAUAGCCAAAUAUCCACUUAAUUUGAUUCAAUUUCCCUUGAAGUGAACCUCUACACUUCACCAAACAACAAUAGUAGCUAUAGAAUGUGAAUUGACGAAUAGAAACUGAAAUAAGUCCAUAAUUUCAGUAGAAUAGUAACAUUUUUGAUUUUUUUUUCUUUGAGUUUCUGUUUCUUUUUUUUUUUUUUGGGUUUUUGGAAGUUGUUGGAGUUUGUAUUUCAGAUCUUAGAUCUGAAAUUUAGAGAGCAUAGUUUGGGGGAAAUUCUUGGGCUCCAAAACUUGUGUGUUAAGGCAUGGGAAUGCCCCUUUUAUAGGCAAAAUGAGGGCAGCCCUCGGAUUUCAUGUUUACCCUAUCAGUCCCUAAUUCUUUUAAGCUUUAAUCCCUUAUUUUCUAACUUGUUUCUCAAGCCAAUCCCUUAACUUUGAUGAAAUCUAACUUAAGCCCUAUUCUAGAUGAUAUAAGGAAUUCUAGUGUCAACUAGAGCAUUAUUCUCCAAUCCUAAAUACCCAAGUUGCCCCUGACUACCCCCUGAAACUACAUCCUAGAUAACUGACCCAAACCAUUAGUUGGAAUUCAAUUGUAGCCAAACAGAUCUUAACCUAAUACCAAUCUGACUAAUAUGAUUAUAUGAAAUUAAUUCUACGCAUAGAACUCCUAAAUACAACAAUGAACUAAUUCAAUUAAAAGUAAACGAAACCCAAUUGAAAUAUCAAACAAACAAAAAUCAAAACAAUAUGAAACGAUACCUAAACAUGCAUGAUUACUGUUAAAAUCAAGCGAACACAUUACUAAAACAAACCAAUUUUAUGGUAUAGAAAAAUAAAAAGCCUAAAGAGAAAUCCUAACAUUCUGCAGAAAUGGUGAAAGAAAUUCUAAAUAAAAUAAAACAAAACAAAUAACGAAGAAGAGAUUGAAAACAGAGAAGAAAGAAACUUGCAAGACUAACUGAUUCCAAAUCUCAACGGAGUUAACCUCGAACUUGACCUUCAAUUAAUGUUGCAUGUCUAUUUCAUCUGAAAUGAAAAUGUAACAUUAACUAAAAAUCAGUCGAACACUUGAAUCACCAAAAAGCACUCGAACCCUCUGAACCCUAGAUCUAAACAGUGACGAAUUCCGGUGGGAUUUGCGGGGUUUUGGUUAGGGAUUACAGAUGAGGGAGUCGAAGAGACUAUGGGGUCCAAUUUUGAGUGGGUUUGGACGACAUAGAAUUUUAGUUCAAAAUAUUAUCCAAUAUUCAAAAGCUUUGGCACUGAUUCGAGGGAAACUAAUGGCAGAUAUGGAAUGGGGAGGUGAAGGAGAAGAUGUAGUGUAAAUUUUGAGCGAUCUGGAGCAUCGCCGGAGGCGGCGGCGAUUUCCGGACAACGGAGGACGGCGAGCUGACGGUGGGAGACAGUGAUGUUACAGGGGGGUUACGAGGAAGAUGAGAGAUUUUUUUUAUGGUUUGGGAAUUUUGGACACUUAUAUUUAAUUGUUGAAAUUGGAAUUUUUGUAUUCAUGCAAAAAUACGUGAGCAGAAACGAGCAAAUUUUGCUGGUUUGAAAAUUUCGUGUGAAGCAUUUUGAAAUUUUUUGACCGCACCCU
rnacentral:lncRNA from 1 species